GCUGCUGAAGAACAAAGAGAUGAGCCGGCUGCCGCCUGCACUGCCACCACGUGUCCCCCCACAUACACACGACGCCACGGUGACCUGUGUGCCAGAUCCACCCGGGCUCAGAGCUGGGAAAUCGGCUUCGCACCCCAGGUUCAGAGAUGAGGCCAGGAAACUGAGCAUCACAGCCGAGAUGCUGGGGGUACGGACACACAGUUGCCUUCUCGCAGGCACGGGCUACGGGGCUGGGGCCACCAACCCUGGACCCCAACAGUGCACUGGGGGGACACAUCAAUGGCAGCAAUGACCUCCAAGCUGUUCCCACGGAAGAGCCAGCACCCCACGCCCACGUGUGUAAGGCUCGCAGUGCGCUGUGAACAGCCUGGCUUCGUCUCAGGACUAAAGAGCUAACUUAACACAGCCCAGCAGCACGACCCAUUCACAUGUUGAAGAGACACGUGGUGAAAUAGAACGUAUAUUCUUGGUUUUAAAGGCUCUUAAUAAAAAAAAUAACGCAUAUAUUUUAUCCUAGAAAGAAGGACCCAUCUCAGCUCAAAAGCCAAAAUUAGGUUCAGGGGGAAAACCAGAAGCACUGCUUCUCAAGACAGAAGGCAUCAGCGGGUCAGGGGACAAGCCCAAAGCCCCAGGGGCUAAAGCAGAAACCACCUAGUGCUCACGCUCCCAGGUCGCAGGCUGGCAGAGCCCCCCCAGGACCACUUCCGGUCUCCGCAGCAGGACGAGGCCAAGACUAACUCCAAGCAGUCUUGGAGACCCCGAACAGGAAGGCCCACAACACAACAUCCCCGCGCCACAGCUACCUGCAAGUGAGGCGGGAUAUCAUCUGUCACGUGUCUGGAAGGAAGAAAAUCACAGAGCCACAAACAGACAAGAUCAGUGACCACCACUUGUGCGUCAACUAGCUCAGGAGCUGGCACUGGGCUUCACGGAAAACUUCGAGAGCGACUCCACUAAAGCCAGGCACAGAGCGAGGUCAGCAGGCACCACGACCUCCACGCUGCCCUGGACACCUUAACCAGCACCACGGGGCCCGGCAAAGCCACAGUGUCGCAGCGCACACAUGCUGUGGUUACAGACAGGGCAGCAGAGCCCACAGGGAGGAAACCGAGAAGGCCUAGCUGUGGCACCGCACUAGAUGUCCCACGGUCAAACACUGAUUUUCAGAAAGAUGAAAGUUUGUAAAAUCUGUACAGGGCAAAAGUCACAACAAGCUAACUUAAACAAAACUCAGGGAAAACAGCAUUUGCAGCUGAGCACAUACAAGGCUAAUUUAUGAUGAGAAAACAAUCACCUAAUGGAAAGACAGAAAGUAUAAUGCAGAUAACAUCCACAGAAAAUAAGACGUUCUUAGAAGCUCCAUCUUGCUCAAAACUAAGUCACGAGGAGCAGACUUACCCCGAGAUCUCACUUUUCAUCUACCAGACUGACACAAAUAAAAUGACGAGCUGCAGGCAAGCCCUGGGGCGGGUCGGUGCCCCUUGAGGAGGGCACAGGCCUGGCGGCCUGGCCAGCCCACUUGUGUGCCCACGUCCGCCAUCAGUCACAGACGGCUGCUGUGUGAUGUGCACAGUAGGAUUUAUAACAGCCGGGCAGCGACGCCCAGCACCUAAAAUGAGUCUGGUCCAUCCCUACGCAGACCACCACGCGGACGAUCGAGGAGGAACAAUGCUCUUUCUAUGUGCCACACAGUAACUGUCCUGAUAGACUAGUCGUACAACACCAGAAGCAGCUGGGGAUCGUGGCGCACGCCUGUAAUCCCACUACUUAGGAAGCUGAGGCAGGAGGAGCACAUGACUGUCAGAGUAGCCUGGGCUACACAGCAAGAUCUUGUCUCCAAAAAAUCAAAUAGAAUCGAAUAGAAUCCAGGAGGACAGGGUCCUAUGUGCCGUAGAAGAGGGACGCAGUCAACACUGUACAUACUGCUGGCAUUCACACAAACUAUGUCUGGAAGGAUUCUCACAACAGCGAUGGCUACACUGGCCCUUGGCGGGGCAAAGGAGCGACUGAGGGACAGAUCCGAGACAACACUUAACUUUUCAGAAUCUGAACCUGGGAAGCCAAUCUGAUCGAUCACUUCCAGAAACUUCCAAAUGGCUCUUAUAGAAGGACAGAACCGUGAGGCAGAGGCAGGGAAGCAGUGUUCCGUGCCGGGUGCCGAGUCUGGCUCCCAGGGGCCUAGUGCUGGCUGACUCCACUACUCUGCAAACCUGCGAGCAUUCACCAACAGGCUGCAGCCUUGACGUCCAUGCCACCUGCCCUUUCGGGGGCACCAGGCUUGCACAACGCUAAGUGGAGGUGGGGGCACCUGUGAAAAAAUAGCAAAGCACAUCAGCAAGGACGCAGUGAUAGCUCUUGAACUUGCAAAUGUUCACAUUGGGCAAAGUGAAACUAACAAACAGGCACAGGGAGUUACAACGGCUGAGAACAGGGCAUCUGGACGGAGCUCAAAGACAGUAGGUGAACCCACGUGACGUUCAGUAAUUGGGAAUUGGGUGCAAAUGUGGGGCGGGGGUCCUCAGCUUGGACAGCUGGGCGAAUCGAGAGGCUGUUUACUCUGAUGGAAAGCUUCCAGGACUGUUUCUGCAAAAUGGAGAAGCCAAGGACACCUGGCUGCCCAGUCUACUGCCUCACACAGAAGUCACGAGGCCCAAAGGAAAAAGGGUGGCCAAAGGCUUUAAGAGAAAAAGGGGGUGUGGGCUCUACAGUUGGCCCUCCAUCUCCCCGGAUUCCACAUCCACGGAUCUGACCAACAGUGGACUGAAAAUACUUGAGAAAAAACUGUAUCUGUAACUGAACACAUACAGGCUAUCUUUUCUUGCAAUCACUCACUAAACAGCACAGUGCAAUAAAUAUUUACAUAGCA